CAACUACUCCCUUUGUCCCAAAUUUCUUGUCUUAGAUUUGUCUAGAUACAGAUGUAUCUAAUACUAAAAUGUGACUUGAUACAUCCGUAUCUAGACAAAUCUAAGACAAGAAUUUUGGGACGGAGGGAGUACUUU
rfam:Triticum aestivum genome assembly, contig: Triticum_aestivum_CS42_TGACv1_scaffold_098262_2AL